rnacentral:rRNA from 1 species
CAUGGCUCAGGAUGAACGCUGGCGGCGUGCUUAACACAUGCAAGUCGAACGAGAAAUGAAGAUGGAAACCUUCGGGCGGAAGCCUUCAUUUCGAGUGGCGGACGGGUGAGUAACGCGUGGGUAACCUGCCUCAUACAGGGGGAUAACAGUUGGAAACGACUGUUAAUACCGCAUAAGACCACAGCACCGCAUGGUGCGGGGGUAAAAACUCCGGUGGUAUGAGAUGGACCCGCGUUCGAUUAGCCAGUUGGCGGGGUAACGGCCCACCAAAGCGACGAUCGAUAGCCGAUCUGAGAGGAUGACCGGCCACAUUGGGACUGAGACACGGCCCAAACUCCUACGG